rnacentral:lncRNA from 1 species
AUGUCAACUUUGGGGGCAGAAAUGUCAACUUCAGCCUUUGGGAGCGACACGUCGACUUCGGGAAGCUCUGCUUUUAGGCCAGGAACCCCAAAUUUGGGCAUUUUCAACUUGGGCAUCUUCAGCUUGCCAUCUGUGCCACGGAUGUCCACAUCUGGAGCUUCAAUGUCCACUUUCGGUCCUUUGACGUCACCUUUGGGUGCUUCAAUGUCCACUUUGGGGCCUUUGAUGUCAAAUUCGGGCCCUUUGAUGUCACCUUUGGCCCCCUGGACCCCCACUCCAGCAGCGCCCACUCCCACUCCGCGUCCCCCGACGUCCCACUGCGGCCCCUUCACAUCCACACCCACAUCCAUCGCCGGCCCCUCCGCUCCUUUCAGCCCCUUCACCUCCAGCCCCACAGCCCCCACGGCGCACCCACGGGGGUCCCCCCGGAGCCCGCUGGGGUCUCCUUCUCCUUUGGGUGCCGCUGAGCCGCGAUGGGAGCCCUUCAGGUUCAGAUCGACGUCCGACAGAGAGAUGUGCGGCGUCUCCGUCUUCUUGAACUGCGGCCCCUUCCAUUCUCCUUCCACGCCGGGCCCCUUUUGGGGGGAGCCCACGGGGGUCGUUUUCACAUCGCCUCCAUCGGACCCCGCCACCGAAACCCCGAAUUUGGGCAUUUUCAUAGCGGGGAUCUUCACCACCCCCACCCCAGCCCCGCUUCCUUCUCCCACACGUGGGGCAGACCCGCACUCCAUCCCGCCCCAUUCGGGACCCUUCACCACCACGCUCCCCGUCUGCCCCAUAAGUCCGGCUUGGCUCGCUCCUUUCACACCCCCAAUUUUCCCACUUUCCGCCCCAAAACGGACGCUCUCCUCCCACACCCCACCGACGCCGCUCUCCGUUCCGGGGCUCUGCACCCCGACGGCGGUUUCGGUUCCGGGGAGGCGGAUCUUGAAAUCGGUUCCGGGCACGUCGACGACGGCGCUGUCGGGUCCGGUGACGUCCACGGUGUACGCGGUGACACGGCGAGUCACGGUGAUGGUGCGGCUCUGCGUUUCCCCCUCGGCUGCAUCCUCUGCCUUCAGCCUCGGUUUGAUCUUCGUGGCGUAG